rnacentral:lncRNA from 1 species
UGAAAGGACUCACACACGUGUAUGCUCAGUGCUCACCUAACACUAACGCAAAGGUUCUAAACUGUUAGACGUUAAUUAGUGUGGCUUAAUUAGGUAGGUUUCGUAUAUUGCCUGAUCACGACUAGUCGUUGUCUCUUAUAAUAGGCGGCUAUGACAAAAAUUACUAUGGCAUAUUAAGAACGAAAUAUUCCAUUCGUAAGACAAGAAUAUAUACAUAACUUUUACUUUGUUUUCUUACGAUAUGUAAUCAUACUUUCUUAAAAAAAAAAAAAACCCUAUUUUUGUCAAAUACUGAUCACUUCUAUAAUAAAACCAGCUAGGUAUUUUAUUUAAUUAAGAAUGUUUUGGUCUGAAUCUGAUAUGGUAGUCCAUUGGUUUCAAGCUCCCUCAAGCCUACAGGCUACAACUAAUCCCAUAUUAUACGGGUUUGGGUUUGGGUUGAAGAUAGUUUUGUCAUACGCAUUAUUAGCCAUGAGACCCAUGACGUAUCAAGUCUCAUUUUCCUAACCUGUGUUUAGAAAAAAAAAAAAAUUCGAUUUUAAUAGAAGAAACAGUGUGAUAUUUAUACAUUUAUAAUUAGCUGCUUCUUGCGCAUAAAUUAGAUGCAUGAGACAAAUAUUUUCGUAUUUAAUAAAAGCAAUUAUGUUAGCCAUCAUAAUUUCUUUUUUAUAAUUUUGGUUAGCCAAUUAUAAUUAGUUUAAAUAAAAUUACAAAACAAA